UACGAAGGGGGCUAGCGUUGUUCGGAAUUACUGGGCGUAAAGCGCGCGCAGGCGGCUAUCCAAGUCAGUGGUGAAAGCCCGGAGCUCAACUCCGGAACUGCCAUUGAAACUGUUUAGCUUGAGGAUGAGAGAGGUGAGUGGAAUUCCCAGUGUAGAGGUGAAAUUCGUAGAUAUUGGGAAGAACAUCGGUGGCGAAGGCGGCUCACUGGCUCAUUACUGACGCUCAGGCGCGAUAGCGUGGGGAUCAAACAGG
rnacentral:rRNA from 1 species